GUAGCCACUAGAGCUCUGAGCUUG
rnacentral:piRNA from 1 species